CCUACGGGGUGCAGCAGUAGGGAAUUUUCGUCAAUGGGCGCAAGCCUGAACGAGCAAUGCCGCGUGAACGAGGAAGGUCUUCGGAUCGUAAAGUUCUGUUGAAGGGGGAAAAGAGCGGAGAGAGGAAAUGAACUCCGAUUGCUAUUACCCUUCGAGGAAGUCACGGCUAACUACGUGCCAGCAGCCGCGGUAAUACGUAGGUGGCGAGUGUUAUCCGGAAUGAUUGGUCGUAAAGGGUGCGUAGGCGGCCUGCGAAGUCUGGAGUGAAAGGUACCGGCUCAACCGGUAUAGGCUCUGGAAACUGGCGGGCGAGAGAGCAGGAGAGGGCGGUGGAACUCAAUGUGUAGCGGUAAAAUGCGUAGAUAUAUGGAAGAACACCAGUGGCGAAGGCGGCCGCCUGGCCUGUUACUGACGCUGAGGCACGAAAGCGUGGGGAGAAAAUAGGAUUAGAUACCCCAGUAGUC
rnacentral:rRNA from 1 species